GAACGCACCUUGCGCUCCUUGGUAUUCCGAGGAGCAUGCCUGUUUGAGUGUCAUUAAAUUCUCAACUAUACAAGUUUUUGAAACCUGUAUAGCUUGGAUCUUGGGAUCUGCGGGCUUUUACCAGCCGGCUAUCCUCAAAUGCAUUAGCAGAGCUUUUGCCGCUAACCUAUGGUGUGAUAAUUAUCUACGCCAUCGAGAGGCGACAUAUUGAAGCUACGCUUCUAAUCGUCCUUUGGGACAAUUAUUGACAAUCUGACCUCAAAUCAGGUAGGACUACCCGCUGAACUUAAG
rnacentral:misc_RNA from 1 species